rnacentral:lncRNA from 1 species
UACUGAUUCAUCAUUUGUCAAAAUUACUCAAUUUGUCAAAUAUAGUUACGAAAAAACAUAAUUUUACUAUAUCACUAAAUUUCUCAAACAUAGAUAAAAGAAACCAGUAAAACUAAAUUUCUCAAACAUAGAUAAAAGAAACUCCACCUGUCAAAUUAAGAAUGGGCACAUUCACUAGAAGUUGAGUUGGCAUACACCAUUAUCCUGUCUCUUGAACCAAAACAUCACCCAGCUUAUUGUCCAGCCUGGCCAUUAUUCCCUUUUCCACAAACAUGUCAAAUGUUUCCCACAUUCAGCCAACGAAAAAUAUGAACAAUGACAAGAACAAUAAACUAAAAACUUGAACUAAAAUUGACAAGAAUAAUAACAGUACAAUUUUCUACUUCACUUGCACAUGUUGUGAAACCAUCACUACUGUCAAUGUCCUCCAGUUGUGUAUUUUCUUCUACAUCAUGCCUUUCAGAAUCUACAUCAAAGAUCCUAGAUUCAGCCACAUCCACUUCUUCAGCCCCAAUAUCAUUAUGAACUAAAUUUUGGCCAUCAAAUUCUGAAUUUAUUCGAAGGGGUUUUUGGGUAGAUGGUAGUUGAUCCUCUUGGAAUGCAAGUUCCACCCACACAUUACACUCUUCAUUCUCCAAUAUGAUUCCAUGUAUAUUGGGAACAUUUUCUUGCUUUUGUGUUCAAAACCGCCCACCAAUCAAGUAUAUCUCUAGCCUUCAUUGGAAAACGUGUGAAAUAUACUUGCUGAGCAUGAUGAGCAAGUAUAAACACAUCAUUUGUUGGUAAUUUCUUCUUAUGAUUAAGCUCGCUAAGUAAACAACAUAAGAAAAAUUAGAAAAUCUGAAACUAUACUAGUAAAAUUUCCCAGAUUAUUAAAUAGCAAAAACAAGAAACAUCAAUAAAAUGAAGCAAGUCUCUACUCAGGAUUUAAUAUUUUUUUCCCAGACCCAAAACUAUGCAAGUUUAUAUUGCACUCUACAAGGUAAAAAUAGAUAUACAUUCUUCCACAAUACUCCAAAUUUCUAAGCAUUUUCUCUACUUGAAAUUCCCCUAACACUCUCUUUAUUUUACUUACCCACAGGGGCGGAUCUAGAGAGUUUAUACAUUUAGUGUACAUCGAAAUAACCUGAUAUUCCACUCUAUUAUUGCACUAUAGCCCAUCAAUCUUAACUUGACAAUAGAGAUAUGAUAUGUCUGUCAACAAAAAUUAUGAAAUCUAGUCUCAUUAUUCAAAGGUUGUACUUUGCCAUUUACUAAAUAAAAGCUCCAUCAUUCAAAGCAAGCCUAUGAAACCUGACCAUCUACUACAAGUGCAAACUCACUGAUUCAAAGGUUGUAUUUUGCCAUUUACAAAUUAAAAGUUCCAACAUUGAAGGUAAGUCUCAAAUAUAAAAAACCUGAUCUUCCACUACAAAAGCAGCAUAACCUAGUAAUCCUAACUUAAAAUCGAAAUAGGAUACUAACUAUCAACAAAAAUAUGAAUUAUAAUGGAUUAUGCUUUACCUAAUUACAAGUUCCCUCCACUACAAAACUCACACAAAUUUCAGCCAAAUGCAGUCUAAUGAAAUUCCCAAUACAACUUUCUGGAGACACCAAAAUGGUAGCAAUAAAAGUAAUGGAGAAGAAAAAAAAUUCUAAAAGAGAUAAAUCUUAGACAGUUUAGCUUAGAGAAGAUUCUCAAUAAUUGAUGAUUGAUGCUAUGUCAAUCAAUUGAAGGUUACUGUCGGCAAUGCCCUGUAGUUCGAGAGACACAGACGAGUAGAGCCGUGGGAGAAAUGUAGAGUGAGGGGAAU